GAUGAACGCUGGCGGCGUGCCUAAUACAUGCAAGUAGAACGCUGAAGGAGGAGCUUGCUCUUCUGGAUGAGUUGCGAACGGGUGAGUAACGCGUAGGUAACCUGCCUGGUAGCGGGGGAUAACUAUUGGAAACGAUAGCUAAUACCGCAUGACAACAGUUAUUGCAUGAUAACUGUUUAAAAGGGGCAACUGCUCCACUACCAGAUGGACCUGCGUUGUAUUAGCUAGUUGGUGAGGUAACGGCUCACCAAGGCGACGAUACAUAGCCGACCUGAGAGGGGGAUCGGCCACACUGGGACUGAGACACGGCCCAGACUCCUACGGGAGGCAGCAGUAGGGAAUCUUCGGCAAUGGACGGAAGUCUGACCGAGCAACGCCGCGUGAGUGAAGAAGGUUUUCGGAUCGUAAAGCUCUGUUGUAAGAGAAGAACGGGUGUGAGAGUGGAAAGUUCACACUGUGACGGUAUCUUACCAGAAAGGGACGGCUAACUACGUG
rnacentral:rRNA from 1 species